GAGCACGUAGGUGGGUUUGUAAGUCAGAUGUGAAAGCCUUCUGUUCAACGGAAGAAUUGCAUCUGAAACUGCGAGUCUUGAGUGUAGGAGGGGAGAAUGGAACUUCUGGUGGAGCGGUGAAAUGCGUAGAUAUCAGAAGGAACUCCGGCGGCGAAAGCGAUUCUCUGGCCUAUUACUGACACUCAGUGUGCGAAAGCUGGGGGAGCAAACGGGAUUAGAUACCCCGGUAGUCCUAGCCGUAAACGAUGGGCACUAAGUAGAGGGGUUUU
rnacentral:rRNA from 1 species